UACUUCCGGAUUUUAUUCAGAUUGCUGUUGUCAUGCUGUCGGGUUUUGUAGAUUGUUUUGUUUUGUCCUGCCCCUCGCGUUAUCACUUCCUGUUUUAUUUUGUACAGAUCACGGGUCCUUCCUCUGCACGGCCGUCCACUUGACCUCCCUGCUUUGCCCGUGAGACUUUGCCUUUAUUUUUCCCUCAGUUUGAGGCGCUUUUUGUUUGCUGUUCUCAGCCCUUUUUUCCCUCGUGUUGAGGAGCUUUUGUUUAUGCCCUUUUUCCCUCAUGUUGAGGCGCUUUUGUUUUUGCGCUUUUUCCCUCAUCGUGAGGAGUCUUUUGUUCUUGGAGCUGUUGGCAACGAAGGAAAUAAACUCCUUGAUUUUUUUUAAACUCUGCAUUCGAGUCCUCUCCCUGCCCUGAGCCUGACAGCUGUGAUUAUUUACGGCAAUGGGUCCCAUUUUAUUAGUCUUUGGUAUGACCUGGCUGGGUUUUGAACUCAUAACCUUCCAGUUUCAGGGUGGACACUACCACUAGGCCACAGAGCUGGAGCUUUUGUGUUGUGUUUAGUUUCUAUAAACUUUUAGCUUUUUUUUUUUUUAAACUAUUUUAGCAGAUGCACUGAUUGUUUGGCAUUUUUAAUUUUGUUGUACAUGUGACAAUAAAGAUCUAUUUAUCCAUCUGUGUAACUAAUAAAGUUGUGACGCUAUGCCCAAACGGCUUUUUUUUUACUCCACCACGCAUUAAAGCGGGUGGAGAAGCCAAGCUGCCUUCGUUACAGCAAACCUGAAGACAGAGGUAAGUGGUUUCUCAGGUAUCUCCCCUCCAACUUCAAAUUUGUGAUGUGCCUAGUUUGUUUAUUUAUUUUAUACAAAUACAAGCAACAUUCCAAGUUGCUUUGGCCGCUUUCGGUCAUCCGUUUUGCAAUUUGUCCGAGUGAAGGCAAAGUGCUUCGCCUUAUCGCUAAAUGCUGCAGUGGGACAUGCGUUCGCCAGAUUGACAAGAACUUUGCACAUUUUUUGAAAUUUUCUUCACAGGCUUGGAAUGAAAUGGAAAUGUGUAUACAAAUAAAAGAUCCGAAAAAUUCGUAAUUUUUAUUGUUUGGCACUUUCUCUUUCAGCAUGAACAGAAAAGUAAUCAAAAUGUGGUGGACGCGGCGCGACAUUCGACCUGUGAAAUGGAUGGGCAUUAUGAAAACGUAACUGUUGCCCUCUGUGAUGGUAAGACCCCUUUUAAGAUGACUCUUUUCAGUCAUCUGGCUAGCAGAGUCACAGAGGUCAACAGUUACGUUUUCGCCCAUUUCAUGGCGGAGGCAAUAAAUCCCAACAUGCUGCUAUGUCAAAAGAGCAGCAGAAUAUACGUGGGGCGAAGGUGCAGUGCAGCGAUGCCUUGAGGGCUGAGGCACUCCACCUCAUUUUCCCCCCGUCGUUGCCAAUGCCCCUCAGCGAGGUUAUCAGAAACCCUCCUGAGGGGCUGGUAAACGUUCAGGGACAGGUUGAAAGUGUAAGUUUAAUUUACACGCACGUGCAUGUUAAAUAUCUAUUUAGAACUACUAAAAAUACAAAAAAUUGUUUUCUUGCAUUAAACAUUGCAGGAUAACGCAAUGGUAUGUCUUUGUUCCAAAUUAGAAACAGCCAAGCAGAAUAGUGUCUGUGCGCGGGGCUCGGUUGGUGCCAGUAAGCAUCGUGUUCCUAAAACAAAACGAAGCGGUCGUAAGAGUGGCCGUGUGGAGGGAGGCGACCUUGACCCCGAUCAAGGUUGGGGCCUUCUACACGUUCUCGCUCCUUAGUGCCGUGACAAAUGAUUUCGGCCUGUCCCUCAAUACGACCCAGUAUUCAAAGAUAUCGGGCUACAAUACAACUGUAAGCUUGGUGGCUAUUGGGCUAAUGAUGGAGGAGGAGGAGGAGGUCAAGUUGGUGGAUGGGGAGGGGGUCGAAACCACAAUUGCCUUGAGUGUAUGGACCAAGACUUUCGUUGAGCCACCAAAAUUACCAGAAGAUGGACUCCAAUUGAAACUCAUUUAUUCGGAGGGUGAAGUGGUGGAAAUUUGCAAAUAAAUUUUAUUUUGCCAA